AUUGAACGCUGGCGGCAGGCCUAACACAUGCAAGUCGGACGGUAGCACAGAGGAGCUUGCUCCUCGGGUGACGAGUGGCGGACGGGUGAGUAAUGUCUGGGGAUCUGCCCGAUAGAGGGGGAUAACCACUGGAAACGGUGGCUAAUACCGCAUAACGUCGCAAGACCAAAGAGGGGGACCUUCGGGCCUCUCACUAUCGGAUGAACCCAGAUGGGAUUAGCUAGUAGGCGGGGUAACGGCCCACCUAGGCGACGAUCCCUAGCUGGUCUGAGAGGAUGACAAGCCACACUGGAACUGAGACACGGUCCAGACUCCUACGGGAGGCAGCAGUGGGGAAUAUUGCACAAUGGGCGCAAGCCUGAUGCAGCCAUGCCGCGUGUAUGAAGAAGGCCUUCGGGUUGUAAAGUACUUUCAGCGGGGAGGAAGGCGAUGUGGUCAAUAACCGCGUCGAUUGACGUUACCCGCAGAAGAAGCACCGGCUAACUCCGUGCCAGCCGCCGCGGUAA
rnacentral:rRNA from 1 species